CCUAUCAACUUUCAGUGUUACUUUCUGCGUCUGCCAUGGUGACCACGGGUAACGGCGAAUCAGGGUUUGAUUCUG